rnacentral:lncRNA from 1 species
GGAAGAUAGAGUUGUACUGUGACCACGGUUACCUAGGAGUCUGUAUUUUUAGUUUAAUUUUUUAUUGAUCUAUAAAGUGGUGCACCAGAGCAGGCUAGUCCCAGGUAGUUAACUAUGCAUAAGCAGUUGCAAAGUUCGAUUUUGCUGUAUAAUAUUGAGCCACAUAUUCUUCACAGUAUAUUUUGCUCAUACCUACUGCAGACUUCCACAUGACAGCUGAAUUGCAAACUGUAAAUGGCUGAAGACAGAAGACUUAUUAUAGAUUUUAUAUCCAGCCCAUGAGGAUUUUGACUGAUUCCAUUGAGCAAGCUCAGGUGAAAAACGGAAGGGCCAAGACAAAUUAAGUGACUUGUCCAGGAUCACACAACCAGUUAUUAGCUCUACUGAGAAAAAAAUACACAUCUCUUGACGCCCAGAUGAGUGUUUUGUUUUCGUUAUUUAGCAUUUCGAGUGCUUCUGUACAACAUACCAUUUGUAUUCUUUGAAACAAACUCUUCGGAUAUUUCCAGGUGUUUUUCACAUUUCUGACCUGAGAGAAAGUAUACCUAAUGGUAUAAGUAGACUUAAAAUCUAUUUAAAAUUCUCAAAAGUUUCUAAUUCUGUUCUUUUAGUAACUACUUAAAAAUGUUAAUUGUCUGUCAGUCCUUUGGUUUGGAGAACUGCUUAUGGGACCACUUUUAGGUUAUGAUAGGGAGAAGACAUUACACAUGAAAGCCAUCCGGCUGUCUAAUAUUACAGAAUAAGCCUACAUUUCACCAGCAUCCGCUCAGAGUGAUAGCCCUGAAUACAAUGGGUAUUUAAUGUUCCUUAAGAAAUUUCACUUGAAAUGUUACUCUGAAUCCAAAUUAUCAUCAAAAUGGAAAAGAUAGAGAUUGUUAUAUUUCCUGUUAGACAUAGAGCCUUAAA